rnacentral:rRNA from 1 species
GGUUAGCAGAACGAGUUGGAAAGCUUAGCCAGAGACUGUGAUAGCCAGGUAUGCGAAAACGACGCUGACCUUAUUCUGUAUUCUCGAGUAGGUCGGGGCACGAGAAACCCUGAUUGAAUCCGGCUGGACCACCAGCCAAGGCUAAAUAUAGUAUAUGAUCGAUAGUGAACUAGUACGGUGACGGAAAGGUGAAAAGAACCCCGGGAGGGGAGUGAAAUAGAACCUGAAAUUUUGUGCCUACAAGGAGUCGGAGCCCAGCACCUUUGAAAUCGAGUGGUACAAUGUAGACAGAUGUUCUACGUGUACGUUUUGCAAAGUGAUCGGGAAUCAGAUCAAAUUUACUUCGGUCAGACUAGUGACUUAAGACGACGUCUCUCGGAACAUAAUUCCGGUAAGGAUACUUAUACCAAGAUAUAUGCGCCAUGGAGGGUUGUCUAUUAUGAAGCCUAUUCAUCACGUAAGCUGGCAUUAGCCCGUGAGAGGCAGUUGAAAGCUUAUGGACAAGCCAGGACUGCUCUGAAGAAGAGACUAAAUUUGAUCUGAUACUCGAUUUCAAAGGUGCUGGGUGACGGCGUGCUUUUUGUAGAACGAUCCAGCGAGUUAAUUUUUACGGCGAGGUUAAGUCAGAUGAUGAAGCCAUAGUGAAAGCGAGCAUUAACAGUGCGAUUUAGUCGUAAGGAUUAGACCCGAAACCAGGUGACCUAACCAUGAGCAGGUCGAAGCAACCUUAAUCGGUUGUGGAGGACCGAACCAGUGUAUAUUGCAAAAUGCUUGGAUGACUUGUGGUUAGCGGUGAAAUGCCAAUCGAACUUGGAGAUAGCUGGUUCUCCGCGAAAUAGUUAUAGGACUAGCGUCGUGUGAUAGCUUACGGGGGUAGAGCUCUGUCAAGAGAUAGGGGGAGCAAUCCUACCUACUCUUAAUAAACUACGAAUACCGUAUGUCUGUAUCACGGCAGUUAGAACGUCGGUGCUAAGAUCGGCGCUCAAAAGGGAAACAGCCCAGACCAUCAUCUAAGGUCCCCAAAUUUACGCUAAGUGGGAAACAAGGUGGAAUUUCUUAAACAGCUAGGAUGUUGGCUUAGAAGCAGCCAUUCAUUUAAAGAGUGCGUAACAGCUCACUAGUCAAGAGAUCUUGCGUGGAAAAUGUAACGGGGCUAAACGUAAUACCGAAGACAUGGGUCUAUGCAUUAGCAUGGGCGGUAGAGGAGCGUUCCUAUCGGCAGUGAAGCAGUAUUGUAAAGUGCUGUGGAGCGGUAGGAAGUGAGAAUGCUGGAAUGAGUAACCAUAAGAGAGGUGAGAAUCCUCUCGGCCGUAAGAGCAAGGUUUCCUGAGCUAUGGUAAUCAUCUCAGGGUUAGUCGGGCCUAAGCCGAGGCGCAUAGCGUAGGCGAUGGACAUCAGGUUGAUAUUCCUGAACCGGCGUAGUUUGUACACUGUUCACGGAGAGAUAUUCAGAGCGGAUUCAUGGUUUAUCCGUCCAACCUAGCGGGAACGCAAAGGGAGUGAAAGUUACUCUACGGAGUGAUGAUUCUGGAAAAGGCUCUGGCUAGAAAAGCAGGUGUACGCGUGGCUAUGUCCGCCCGUACCGCAAACCAACACAGGUGCUCGAGUCGAGUAGACUCAGGCUUACGAGUGAACCUUCGCUAAGGAACUCGGCAAUACAGCGACCGUAACUUCGGAAUAAGGUCUGCCCCCACUUCGGUGGAUAUGUUGUCGGUUUCAAAGCUAGCAGGUGUGGUUGAAGAGUAUCUUUAAUACAUCAAUUCUUCUUGAGAUAGAACCAAUAGCUUUUGGAACUGAAGCUCAACGCAUCUAGCGAUGUGGGGGCCGCAGCAAAAGAGCCCACGGAACUGUUUAUCAAAAACACAGCUCUCUGCUAACACGAAAGUGGAUGUAUAGGGGGUGACUCCUGCCCGGUGCUGGAAGGUUAAGGGGAGUGCUUCACGGUACGAACUGAAGCCCCAGUGAACGGCGGCGGUAACUAUAACCGUCCUAAGGUAGCGAAAUUCCUUGUCAGGU